rnacentral:misc_RNA from 1 species
GGAAGGAUCAUUAAAAAAUCUUCUGAGCCGGCAAGGCUCUAUUAUUUUGUGAAGCGUUGUCUGUGGAGAGGUUGGGGGAGUAUACUGUGAUGAUGUCGGGUAAGGUGGUCGAUGAGCUGUGUUGACGAAAAUGCCAAGGCAUUGCCGUCUUGUGCAGCUCUGGCUCCAUCCGUACCGUCCUACUUGCACACUCUCGCUGCGCCUCUCCAUAUGCAUAUUUUAAACAUAUGUCUUUGAUGUUAAGGAAUAAAUAUAUCUUAAUAUAUAUACAACUUUCAACAGUGGAUCUCUCGGCUCUUGCAAACGAUGAAGAACGCAGCGAAAUGCGAUAGGUAAUGUGAAACGCAUCACUCGUGAAACAUCAAAUCUUUGAACGCAUAUUGCACCCUCUGGUAUUCCGGAGGGUAUGCCUGUUUGAGAAUUGGAAUCCUAUCAACAACCAAGUUGUUGGAAAUGAGUGUUCGUGUGCACUGCACGCGUCGCUUGAAAUAUAGGCGCAACAGCACUAGCAAAACGCCCAAGCUGUUGGACACUCUCUAAUGCACUCAUGCUUGAAAGAGUCCUUGACUGGAAGUUUAUGUGCUGACUGUGACAAACAAGCACCACCCCUGGUGUUUGUCGAGCCAUGCUUUUGCAUGCAAGAGGAGAUUCCGUGUGGAUGCGCGCCGCCGCUAGGAUGCGACAGACCUCGGAUCGACUCCAAAACUCAAUCUCAAAUCAGGUAGGAUUACCCGCUGAACUUAAGCAUAUUAAUAAGCGGAGGAAAAGAAACUAACAAGGAUUCCCCUAGUAACGGCGAGUGAAGAGGGAAGAGCUCAAAUUUGUAAUCUGGCAGGCUACGCCUGUCCGAGUUGUAAUUUGAAGAAGCGUUUUCUGCGCUGUCGAUGGCACAAGUCCCUUGGAAAAGGGCCGCAGAGAGGGUGAAACGCCCGUCUUUGCCAAAGACAGUCGCUUUACGAUGCGCUUUCUAAGAGUCGGGUUGUUUGGGAAUGCAGCCCAAAGACGGUGGUAAAUUCCAUCUAAAGCUAAAUAUAAGCAAGAGUCCGAUAGCAAACAAGUACCGUGAGGGAAAGAUGAAAAGGACUUGAAAAGAGAGUUAAAUAGUACGUGAAACUGUUGAAAGGGAAACGCUUGAAACCAGAGGGAUGCGCUGUGAAUCAGUCGUGCAAAUUGCACGGUGCUCUUUUGCAGCGCUCAGCCAACAUCGGUUCGAGCAGCCGGAAAUUGGCCAGUGGAAGGUAGCUUGUCCUUCGGGGCAAGUGUUAUAGCCACGGCUGGUACGGCUAAUGGGACCGAGGCAAUGCGGCGUGAGCUUUGCUGCCGGCCUGGUGUCAUCGUAGCGAAGGCUGUGCAGACAGUUACUGACUGUGUGGCACUAGUGGCGAUGCGCUGGGUGCAGGACAUUCACGCCAAGGUUGUUGGCGAGUUGGUUUUAAACGACCCGUCUUGAAACACGGACCAAGGAGUCCAACAUAGAUGCGAGUAUUUGGGUGGCAAACCCGGAUGCGCAAUGAAAGUGACAAGUGGGAACUGGAUUUCCAGUGCACCAUAGGCCGAUCCAGAAGUCUCUGAUGGACGGAUUUGAGCCAGAGCAUCUCUGCUGGGACCCGAAAGAUGGUGAACUAUGCCUGAGUAGGGUGAAGCCAGAGGAAACUCUGGUGGAGGCUCGUAGCGAUUCUGACGUGCAAAUCGAUCGUAGAACUUGGGUAUAGGGGCGAAAGACUAAUCGAACCAUCUAGUAGCUGGUUCCCUC